rnacentral:lncRNA from 1 species
GGGGGGUGAAGGUGCGGCUGCAGUAGGGGGAGGCGGGGGGCGGGGGGAGGCCGCCCACCCAGGAGGCCAGAUGCAGCCGGCUCUGAGGAGGCUGGCGCAGCCGUCCCAGGCAGGCGGCCAGGCAGGGGCUGGCCCGUGGGUACUGGCCCAGCUGCACGUCAGCCGCCUCUGCCCCGCCGGCCCUGGCGCACAGCCGCAGCUGGCCCGCCGCAGCAACCUUUCCUCCCUCCUGCUCUGGCCUCCAGAGGGUUCCAGGCCCCUGAAGUGUAGGGGAGCCCCAUUCCCAAGACCACACCGGCUGAGGAAUGAGGGGCUUUCCCAGAACUAUUCCAGGAGUAGCAGGACCCAGGUAUGAAUGCAGGGCUGCCUGCUCCAGAGGCCGAGGCACAGAUAAAGAAACUGAGGCACAGAGAGGGAAACUUGCCAUCAGGUGGGGCAUGUCAGCUGGAGGCAGAUGGCUGCAUUCCCAAGGAAAGAGGAGAGAGGAGGAAGGUAACCUUCCCUGGGCUCUAAGCUCACCCUGGGUGCUCGCUGGGUUGGGGGAGUCCCUGGCUUGCUUGUCUCCCACCUCAGCCAGGGUUCCUCCUUGGAAGCAACAGAAAACUCUCUGGCUACCUUUGGCAGAAAGCUGGGAACCAACGUGGAAAAACGGGCAAGAACCACAGCCAAACGAUAUCCCAGGAACAGGCCACGGCUGCCCAGGACACGUCUUCCACCCGCCCCGCCACUGGUGGAUUUGGACUCCUGCCCAUGCCACCAGGCACGUACCUCCCCACCCCCAGCCCAGCCCCUCCUCUGGGCAUUGCUUAGGGUGGAGGCUCAGCCGAGGCCACUGCCAGGCUGCGGCCACCAUGGAAGGGCAGGGAGGACUUCUGGGGACUCUAAACAGAAGCUGAAUGAUGAGUAGGAGUGUGUGUGUGUGGUGAGGGAGAUGGUCAGUGUUCUGGUAGAGGGGACGAGCGUGGGACAUCCUGGGGAUCGUUCCUGUGGCACAGAGCAGGGAGCGUAUGUAGAUACACCAAUGAGGAAUAAAACAGAAGCCCACACUCUACA